CUGCCCAAGGCCCUUGGCACAGGUUGGGAAGUGGGAAUGGUCCCCUGGGCCCUGCACACUCCGUUCUUCAUGGUGGGUCCUGCAUCCGUGGGAGGUUUCUGGGCUGCUGCUCUGAGGAGGGAUUUGAGGUCAGGCUGACUUUGGUGCUUCCCAAAAGGCACUGACUCUCUCUGUUUCAGUUCAGGUCCAGGGCAGCCACCCAGCAUUGCUCCAAAUCCACGAGAAGUGAAGCAAACCCAGGAAUUCACCCAGCCCUUCCCAUCAGUGGGCAGGUGGCAGCCCCAGUGCCAGGGAGAGGCAGGUGCUUUCUGCACACCCAGAACCGGACCAGACCCGCUGCCCAAAAUCCCAGCACAAACCACGGCUGCCCACAACCUUCUCCAGGGGGAGUGGUAAGUGCUGGGAACCCAGGGGACGUUCCCAGGACCUGAGCAACCAAAAACCUCCCUUUUCUCCCAGCCACAAGCAGUAACCCUGAGGUGACGGGCAGAAAGGGCCACUCCAUCACAAUGCCCGCUCCCCAGGGAUCCUUGGUACAUCGCUGCUUCCUUCCCAGCCCAUCCCAAAGAGCCAUCUCCACAUGGGACACUACCAAAACAUUUAUUAGAAGAGUGCAGGGUGGCCAGGCUCCACAGGACCUGCCCUGCAGCUGCCCACAGAGCUGGGGAGGGCAGCAGGAAUGUUCACCCUGGGCAUCUCGUGUGUCCCAGCAUCAACCGGGAGAUGCAGGCGCUUGUUUCCCCGAGGGAAAUGUGUCCCUGCUGGGGCGUGGGCAGUGGGGACAGGCUGGCUGUGCCAUUCCUGCAGGCAGGAGGCAGCACUCGGGCACUGCAGAACUCCCAGCAGGGAGAUCCAGGGCUGCUCACACUGGGCACUGCAGAGCUCCCAGCAGAUCCAGGGCUGCUCACACUGGGCACUGCAGAGCUCCCAGCAGGCAGGCAGAUCCAGGGCUGCUCACACUGGGCACUGCAGAGCUCCCAGCAGAUCCAGGGCUGCUCACACUGGGCACUGCAGAGCUCCCAGCAGAUCCAGGGCUGCUCACACUGGGCACUGCAGAGCUCCCAGCAGAUCCAGGGCUGCUCACACUGGGCACUGCAGAGCUCCCAGCAGAUCCAGGGCUGCUCACACUGGGCACUGCAGAGCUCCCAGCAGAUCCAGGGCUGCUCACACUGGGCACUGCAGAGCUCCCAGCAGAUCCAGGGCUGCUCACACUGGGCACUGCAGAGCUCCCAGCAGAUCCAGGGCUGCUAUCCAGGGCUGCUGGGGGGGGGGGGGGGGGGGGGGGGGGGGGGGGGGGGGGGGGGGGGGGGGGGGGGGGGGGGGG
rnacentral:lncRNA from 1 species